CGUCUUCGAUUGCAAAAGAAAAUCAUCGGCAUGAUACGCAGAUCGCUUACAGACACGAAAUUGGGGAUUGCUGAACUAUAGAAGAAGCUCGAGAUAAAUAGAUAUUGCUUUUUGGGAGAACAAAGUAGCUAUCAAAAGUGCCGAGAAGGAUUAAAGGAUGACACUAUAAAGUUGGACAAACUUUUUGACGAGCUUC